UUAAUUAAUUCCACCCCAUACGAAAAUUAGCCAAGUAGAAUAAAAAAGGAGUAAAAGCAGGUGUAGGCGAGAUGGUAUAGUGGUAAAGGCAAAGUGAUGCAAGUGCGUAAAGCCAGGAUCGAUUCCUGGUUGUGUCAAAAGCAUUUUAAUGUCAUGUAUGGUUUAUAAUUAUUUCUCCCGAGACGAGAAAGAGUUAAGUGAGAAUAAAAAAGAAGUUAAAGCAAGUGUAGGCGAGAUGGUCUAGUGGUAAGGACGAACUGUUGCAAGUGCGUAAAGCCAGGAUCGAUUCCUGGUUGUGUCAAAAGCAUUUUAAUGUAAGGCGUCGUUGUUAAUUAAUUCCACCCGAGACGAAAAUUAGCCAAGUAGAAUAAAAAAAGGGGUAAAGCAAGUGUAGGCGAAAUGGUCUAGUGGUAAAGGCAAAGUGUUGCAAGUGCGUAAAGCCAGGAUCGAUUCCUGGUUGUGUCAAAAGCAUUUUAAUGUCAGGCAUCGUUGUUAAUUAAUUCCACCCCAUACGAAAAUUAGCCAAGUAGAAUAAAAAAGGAGUAAAAGCAAGUGUAGGCGAGAUGGUCUAGUGGUAUAUAAGGACGAACUGUUGCAAGUGCGUAAAGCGAGGAUCGAUUCCUGGUUGUCUAAAAAUCAACAAGUGUAUGCAUUAAUAUAUUUUUGGAAUCUACGGUCAAUAGGCUUUCCGCCGAUGCCUUACUCGUGCAUCACUAGACGUCCGUAGACCUAAAAAGCAGGUUUUUCCAACUCUAUAAUCGAAAAAGACGUGAAAGUUAAUAUUAUGCUUAUGUAGGGUGAAAUCCAAAAAAUCUACAUACAGCUAGUACAACGGAAAAUAGAAUAUUGAGGUAUUGACUAUUGUAUUUUGUUAUCAGUUUCAUCGUUGACAUCAUGGUCUAGCGGUAAACAGCGAGGCCAUCAUGAGCGAAAGUUGUGGACCAUUCCCAGGUAAAAGUUUCGAAACGUUUCGUAUAAUUUUUUCUUCAUUUUUUUUGCCAUUAUUCUUCCCAAAAGUCUUCAAAUUACUCCUCAUAACUGUUUAAUACUAAUAUUUUGAUAAUAUUUUCUAUAUCUAGACAAUUUUCAGUCGAUUUAACUGAACAACGCAAUGAAGAGAAUUCUUAUGCAGGGUGAAAUCGAAAAACACUAUCUACAGCACAACAAAUAAGCACAAUAUUGAAAUGACGUAAUUUGUUACCUGCUUCCAUCGUUGACAUCUUGGUAUAUUGGUAAACCCCGAGGCCAUCAUGGGCGAAAGUUGUGGACCAUUCCCAGGUAAAAGUCUCGAAACCUUUCUUAUAAUUUUUUCUUUAUUUUUUUUCCAUUAUUUUUUCCAAAUGUCUCCAAAUUGUUCCUCAUAACAGCUUAAUACUCAUAUUUUGAUAAUAUUUUGUAUAUUUAGACAAUAUUGAGUCGAUUUAACUGAACAACGCGAUAAGGAGAAUUCUUAUGCAGGGUGAAAUCGAAAAACACUAUCUACAGUACAGCAAUAAACACAAUAUUGAAGUAAUGUAAUUUGUUACCUGCUUCCAUCGUUGACAUCAUGGUAUAGUGGUAAACACCGUGGCCAUCUUGGACGAAAGUUGCGGAGCAUUUCCAGGUAAAUGUCUCGUAACUUUUCCUAUAAUUUUUUCUUUAUUUUUUUUGCCAUUAUUUUUUCCAAAAGUCUUCAAAUCGUUCCUCAUAACAGCGUAAUACUCUUGUUUUGAUAAUAUUUUGCAUAUUUGGACAAUUUUGAGUCGAUUUAACCAACGAUGACGAGGGCAUGAACCACGAUGUAUAGCGAUGAAGAGGAUCUUAUGUAGGGUGAAAUCCAAAAAAUCUACAUACAGCUAGUACAACGGAAAAUAGAAUAUUUAAGUAUUGACUAUUGUACUUUGUUACCAGUUUCAUCGUUGACAUCGUGGUAUAGUUGUAAACACCGAGGCAAUCAUGGGCGCAAGUUGUGGACCAUUCCCCGAGAAAAGUCUCGUAACUUUUCGUAUAAUUUUUUUUAAACUUUUUUUUCCCAUUAUUUUUACCCAAAGUCUUCAAGUAGCUCCUCAUAACAGCUUAAUACUCAUAUUUUGAUAAUAUUUUGUAUAUUUGGACAAUUUUGAGUCGACUUGACCAACGAUGACGAGGGCGUGAACAACGAUGUAUAGCGAUGAAGAGAAUCUUAUGUAGAGUGAAAUCCAAAAAAUCUACAUACAGGUAGUACAACGGGAAAUAGAAUAUUUAAGUAUUGACUAUUGUAUUAUUUUACCUAUUUCAUCGUUGACAUCAUGGUAUAGUGGUAAACACCGUGGCCAGCAUGAGCGAAAGUUGUGGAGCAUUCCCAGCUAAAAGUUUCAUAACUUUUCGUAUAAUUUUUUCUUUAUUUCUUUUUGCCAUUACUUUUCCCGAAAGUCUCCAAGUCGCUCUUCAUAACAGCUUAAUACUCAUAUUUUGAUAAUAUUUUGCAUAUUUAGACAAUUUUGAAUCGAUUUAACUGAACGACGCGAUGUAGAGAAUUCUAAUGCGGGGUGAAUAUACCAUCUACAGUACAACAAUAAACACAAUAUUGAAGUGCUGUAAUUUGUUACCUGUUUCAUCGUUAACAUCAUGGUAUAGUGGUAAACAUCGUGGCCAUCUUGGGCGAAAGUUGUGGACCAUUCCCAG
rnacentral:lncRNA from 1 species